UACGUAGGGGGCAAGCGUUGUCCGGAUUUAUUGGGCGUAAAGAGCGUGUAGGCGGCCACACAGGUCAGCUGUGAAAACUCGAGGCUCAACCUCGAGACGUCGGUUGAAACCGUAUGGCUAGAGUCCGGAAGAGGGGAGUGGAAUUCCCGGUGUAGCGGUGAAAUGCGCAGAUAUCGGGAAGAACACCCGUGGCGAAGGCGGCUCUCUGGGACGGUACUGACGCUGAGACGCGAAAGCGUGGGGAGCGAACAGG
rnacentral:rRNA from 1 species